rnacentral:rRNA from 1 species
CGUCAAAUCAUCAUGCCCCUUAUGGUCUGGGCUACACACGUGCUACAAUGGCGGUGACAGAGGGAAGCGAAGGAGCGAUCCGGAGCAAAUCCCAAAAAAGCCGUCCCAGUUCGGAUUGUAGUCUGCAACUCGACUGCAUGAAGCUGGAAUCGCUAGUAAUCGCGAAUCAGCAUGUCGCGGUGAAUACGUUCCCGGGUCUU